rnacentral:rRNA from 1 species
GGACCCGCACAAGCAGCGGAGCAUGUGGUUUAAUUCGAAGCAACGCGAAGAACCUUACCAGAGCUUGACAUCCUACUGACCGGCAGGUAAAACUGCCUUCUCUUCGGAGCAGUAGUGACAGGUGGUGCAUGGUUGUCGUCAGCUCGUGUCGUGAGAUGUUGGGUUAAGUCCCGCAACGAGCGCAACCCUUGUCAUUAGUUGCCAUCAGGUUAAGCUGGGCACUCUAAUGAGACCGCCGGGGAUAACUCGGAGGAAGGUGGGGAUGACGUCAAAUCAUCAUGCCCCUUAUGUUCUGGGCUACACACGUGCUACAAUGGCCGGUACAAAGAGAAGCAAGACCGUGAGGUGGAGCAAAUCACAAAAAGCCGGUCCCAGUUCGGAUUGUAGGCUGCAACCCGCCUACAUGAAGUCGGAGUUGCUAGUAAUCGUGAAUCAGAAUGUCA